rnacentral:rRNA from 1 species
GGGUUGUGAGGUUAAGCGACUAAGCGUACACGGUGGAUGCCCUGGCAGUCAGAGGCGAUGAAGGACGUGCUAAUCUGCGAUAAGCGCCGGUAAGGUGAUAUGAACCGUUAUAACCGGCGAUUUCCGAAUGGGGAAACCCAGUGUGAUUCGUCACACUAUCAUUAACUGAAUCCAUAGGUUAAUGAGGCGAACCGGGGGAACUGAAACAUCUAAGUACCCCGAGGAAAAGAAAUCAACCGAGAUUCCCCCAGUAGCGGCGAGCGAACGGGGAGGAGCCCAGAGCCUGAAUCAGCAUGUGUGUUAGUGGAAGCGUCUGGAAAGGUGCGCGAUACAGGGUGACAGCCCCGUACACAAAAGCGCAUGUGCUGUGAGCUCGAUGAGUAGGGCGGGACACGUGGUAUCCUGUCUGAAUAUGGGGGGACCAUCCUCCAAGGCUAAAUACUCCUGACUGACCGAUAGUGAACCAGUACCGUGAGGGAAAGGCGAAAAGAACCCCGGCGAGGGGAGUGAAAAAGAACCUGAAACCGUGUACGUACAAGCAGUGGGAGCACCCUUCGGGGUGUGACUGCGUACCUUUUGUAUAAUGGGUCAGCGACUUAUAUUCUGUAGCAAGGUUAACCGUAUAGGGGAGCCGGAGGGAAACCGAGUCUUAACCGGGCGUUAAGUUGCAGGGUAUAGACCCGAAACCCGGUGAUCUAGCCAUGGGCAGGUUGAAGGUUGGGUAACACUAACUGGAGGACCGAACCGACUAAUGUUGAAAAAUUAGCGGAUGACCUGUGGCUGGGGGUGAAAGGCCAAUCAAACCGGGAGAUAGCUGGUUCUCCCCGAAAGCUAUUUAGGUAGCGCCUCGUGAAUUCAUCUCCGGGGGUAGAGCACUGUUUCGGCUAGGGGGCCAUCCCGGCUUACCAACCCGAUGCAAACUGCGAAUACCGGAGAAUGUUAUCACGGGAGACACACGGCGGGUGCUAACGUCCGUCGUGAAGAGGGAAACAACCCAGACCGCCAGCUAAGGUCCCAAAGUCAUGGUUAAGUGGGAAACGAUGUGGGAAGGCCCAGACAGCCAGGAUGUUGGCUUAGAAGCAGCCAUCAUUUAAAGAAAGCGUAAUAGCUCACUGGUCGAGUCGGCCUGCGCGGAAGAUGUAACGGGGCUAAACCAUGCACCGAAGCUGCGGCAGCGAACGUAUCACCCAAGACAACUUUACGGAGUUGACGAUUGACGGAGCGAAGCGACGUCAAAGCGUUCAUUAAAGUCGAGUUGGCUUAGGGAUACGUUCGUUGGGUAGGGGAGCGUUCUGUAAGCCUGUGAAGGUGUGUCGUGAGGCAUGCUGGAGGUAUCAGAAGUGCGAAUGCUGACAUAAGUAACGAUAAAGCGGGUGAAAAGCCCGCUCGCCGGAAGACCAAGGGUUCCUGUCCAACGUUAAUCGGGGCAGGGUGAGUCGACCCCUAAGGCGAGGCCGAAAGGCGUAGUCGAUGGGAAACGGGUUAAUAUUCCCGUACUUGGUGUUACUGCGAAGGGGGGACGGAGAAGGCUAUGUUGGCCGGGCGACGGUUGUCCCGGUUUAAGCGUGUAGGUGUGUGUUCCAGGUAAAUCCGGUUCACUUUAACACUGAGGCGUGACGACGAGGCACUACGGUGCUGAAGCAACAAAUGCCCUGCUUCCAGGAAAAGCCUCUAAGCAUCAGGUAACACGAAAUCGUACCCCAAACCGACACAGGUGGUCAGGUAGAGAAUACCAAGGCGCUUGAGAGAACUCGGGUGAAGGAACUAGGCAAAAUGGUGCCGUAACUUCGGGAGAAGGCACGCUGACACGUAGGUGAAGUGAUUUACUCAUGGAGCUGAAGUCAGUCGAAGAUACCAGCUGGCUGCAACUGUUUAUUAAAAACACAGCACUGUGCAAACACGAAAGUGGACGUAUACGGUGUGACGCCUGCCCGGUGCCGGAAGGUUAAUUGAUGGGGUCAGCGUAAGCGAAGCUCCUGAUCGAAGCCCCGGUAAACGGCGGCCGUAACUAUAACGGUCCUAAGGUAGCGAAAUUCCUUGUCGGGUAAGUUCCGACCUGCACGAAUGGCGUAAUGAUGGCCAGGCUGUCUCCACCCGAGACUCAGUGAAAUUGAACUCGCUGUGAAGAUGCAGUGUACCCGCGGCAAGACGGAAAGACCCCGUGAACCUUUACUAUAGCUUGACACUGAACAUUGAGCCUUGAUGUGUAGGAUAGGUGGGAGGCUUUGAAGUGUGGACGCCAGUCUGCAUGGAGCCGACCUUGAAAUACCACCCUUUAAUGUUUGAUGUUCUAACGUGGACCCGUAAUCCGGGUUGCGGACAGUGUCUGGUGGGUAGUUUGACUGGGGCGGUCUCCUCCUAAAGAGUAACGGAGGAGCACGAAGGUUGGCUAAUCCUGGUCGGACAUCAGGAGGUUAGUGCAAUGGCAUAAGCCAGCUUGACUGCGAGCGUGACGGCGCGAGCAGGUGCGAAAGCAGGUCAUAGUGAUCCGGUGGUUCUGAAUGGAAGGGCCAUCGCUCAACGGAUAAAAGGUACUCCGGGGAUAACAGGCUGAUACCGCCCAAGAGUUCAUAUCGACGGCGGUGUUUGGCACCUCGAUGUCGGCUCAUCACAUCCUGGGGCUGAAGUAGGUCCCAAGGGUAUGGCUGUUCGCCAUUUAAAGUGGUACGCGAGCUGGGUUUAGAACGUCGUGAGACAGUUCGGUCCCUAUCUGCCGUGGGCGCUGGAGAACUGAGGGGGGCUGCUCCUAGUACGAGAGGACCGGAGUGGACGCAUCACUGGUGUUCGGGUUGUCAUGCCAAUGGCACUGCCCGGUAGCUAAAUGCGGAAGAGAUAAGUGCUGAAAGCAUCUAAGCACGAAACUUGCCCCGAGAUGAGUUCUCCCUGAGACUUAGAGUCUCCUGAAGGAACGUUGAAGACGACGACGUUGAUAGGCCGGGUGUGUAAGCGCAGCGAUGCGUUGAGCUAACCGGUACUAAUGAACCGUGAGGCUUAACCUUACA